ensembl:lncRNA
UUGUUGUCUGUUACGACCCCCGGUCUUGUCUGUGUUCUGUGUGUGUGAUAACCCUCCUCAGGUGGAGCUAAUUGUCUUCAUUACUCAUCCGCCCUCCCGUGAUCUCCUACAGCUGGUUCCUGUUUUCCCAUCCUCCAAUCGCAUCGUCCCAUCAGCUGUAUUUAUGUGUUUCUGGUUGUUCAGUCCAGAGAUCUCUCAGGCAGGGUGUAAGGUUGUGUUUGGGGUGCUCUUGUGAAAUUGGUUGUACAUGGUGGAGUGUUUUUGGAGUAUUGAAAGUAUUAAUCAUUUGUAUUUCGUGUGUCCUUCCCAGGGAGAACGGAAAGCACUUGGGAGUGUUAGGAAAGACGCCCUGGGCAUACAUCACCCGUAGGGAUAUCUCCUGUUAUACACACCAGGUUAGAUCUGAGCGAUCCACCCCCUGUAUUUUUGGUUAGGGCGCCUUGCUCGAGCGCCAGAGUAAAUAAGGGUUUUGUGUAGGACGUUGGGACAGGUAAGGGGUGGGGUUUUGCUAAUUUCUUUGUUUUGGAUCAGCUCAGCCGUCCUCCCAUUUCCCUCUAUGGUUUAUUAUUAUUAUUAUCAUUAUUAAAAUACUGGCACGUGCUAGCCUGUUUAAACCAAACCCAUCGGUGUUGGUAUGAUUACUUGCGCCCACACCCGGUCUCUGGCCGUCUGGGGUUCUGGGCAGCGCGGUGUAUGUUCCCCUCCCCUCACGGGGUGCUUCAAUCCCGGACGAGCCCCCAUUUGUUACGUUCGUACAGCACCCCGUGAGGGGAGGGGAACAUACACCGCGCUGCCAAGAACCCCAGACGGCCAGAGACCGGGUGUGGGCGCAAGUAAUCACACCAACAUCGAUGGGUCUGGUUUAAACAGGCUAGCACGUGCCAGUUUAUUAUUAAUAAUAAUAAUAAUAAUAAUAACAAACAAUAGAGGGAAAUGGGAGGACGGCUGAGCUGAUCCAAAACAAAGAAAUUAGCAAAACCCCACCCCUUACCUGUCCCAACGUCCUACACAAAACCCUUAUUUACUCUGGCGCUCGAGCAAGGCGCCCUAACCAAAAAUACAGGGGGUGGAUCGCUCAGAUCUAACCUGGUGUGUAUAACAGGAGAUAUCCCUACGGGUGAUGUAUGCCCAGGGCGUCUUUCCUAACACUCCCAAGUGCUUUCCGUUCUCCCUGGGAAGGACACACGAAAUACAAAUGAUUAAUACUUUCAAUACUCCAAAAACACUCCACCAUGUACAACCAAUUUCACAAGAGCACCCCAAACACAACCUUACACCCUGCCUGAGAGAUCUCUGGACUGAACAACCAGAAACACAUAAAUACAGCUGAUGGGACGAUGCGAUUGGAGGAUGGGAAAACAGGAACCAGCUGUAGGAGAUCACGGGAGGGCGGAUGAGUAAUGAAGACAAUUAGCUCCACCUGAGGAGGGUUAUCACACACACAGAACACAGACAAGACCGGGGGUCGUAACAUUGUCU